UGAUGCAGCAGGCACUAAGCCAGACUGACUGGGAAGCACUGUGGAUGUACUGUGAACUGUUGUGAGUGUCAAGGAGUAGCAGUAUAUUUAAGGAAAGCAACAAAGCCCAUCAGUCUGGAGUUCUUCAUGUCUGUGGAGUAUGAACAGGAGAAGAAGGAAGUUGUCUGUUAAAUGACAUGUGGAAACUUUUUUUUAAAAUGACUCUGGAUAUAACCUAUUUUAUUCCAUCAAACUGAUUGAUAUAACCUACAUAAUCUGGUGCUCUAAUAUUUAUGCAGUGGAGAUAUUACCUGUCUUUAGAUUACCAGGGCAUUCAUUUCUACCUCUGAAUGCUGUUUUCAUAAAGGCACUCAUAGAUCAUCUUGAAGACCUUGUUAGUAGGAUCUGCCCUUUCUGAUGAGAGUGAGACUGGCACCUAGGGCUAUGUAAUACUUUCCAAACCCUCUGGUUUAGCAGUAAGCAGGAAAAAAAGCUGGUGGGGAGUCUCGGGGCAGACUGCUGCAUCUGACGCUGAAUGACCUGGGGAGGGAAUAACUUUCUGCAAGGAUGGACAUGGUCAGUGCAGGCCUGAGGAGGGAGCCGGGGUAGCAGGCAGAGAGCAUUUGGGUAGCAGAGUGUAGUAACUUGUAGUAGCUUUGGAAGUAGUCGCUUGGAGAGGGGGGAGCUGAGGACAAACUGUAAAAGACAGUUCAAGAGUCAGCUGUGAUUUUGUUUGAUGUUCGGACCUGACUGGACUCAGGUGUCUGUGGAAUAACCUUUCUGAUUACAGCCUCUCAGCAGAAAAAAAUCUGAAAUAACUACUGACUUCAGCUGCUUCAAAACACCCAACUUGAGUCUCAUGACUGGGUUGAAUCUUCCAAAACUCCUGAGCAUCCAGACCCUGAAAACUGGGAUUCAAUUUUUAGUAUCUCAAUUUGAGUGGGAAGUGUUGGGUUUUGUUCUGUGGCUUUUUCCUUUAAAGGGAAGCCUUUGAAACCUUAACCUUUAAUCUUAGUAACUCCUGAACCAUCUUCUGUGUGAAGAGAGGAGAUAAAUUAUUGUGGACUCAUUUGAGGAUUUACAGCACUUUAACUGCUCACUGUCUGACCCACAGCAUUUGCCUUGAAAUACAGGGGCUGAUUUGAAGCUUUCUCAUAGCAGGUAUUGAGUUCCUAUCUGGAGUGAGCAAACACUGUGUGCAGGGUGAGAAAUAUUCUUUGUCUGUGCAUUAUAGUAUCUGGAUUUAUGACUGCUAAUGUCUUCAAACCUUUUGCACAUCCCUUUUGUGCAAACAUUUGAAUGAUUUGAUUUGCUAGUAGUGCUAUAUAUAAGAAGUGGAUUUGAAAACUGGAAGGGCUUGUUUAGGGUGCCUUAAAUCACUGUAUAACAAAAUAAGUAGUGCCCUUGCCUGGUGAUCA